CCAAGGAUGAAACUGGUGUCUUCUGCUUGGCAGGCGGAUUCUUUACCACUGAGCCACCUGGGAAGCCCAUGAGAAGGGAGUUACUCAUCCUUAUCCUCAAAAUAGAUCUUCUUUACCCCAGGGGUUAAAGUAGAUGAGCUGUAGGGGUUGGACAAUGCACCUUGGUUCACAUAAAGUUCAGGCUGAUCCAUGUAUAAGCCAAAUUGACCUCUCAACAUUUGAACAUUUUCUCCAUUCAUCAAUCACCAACAGAUAAAAACCUUAGAAACCCAUGGUCCAGCAAUUCUACCUCUGAUGAUAAACCCAGAAGAAUUGAAAGCACACUCUGGAAGAGAUAUUUGUACACUCAUGUUCAUAGCAGCGUUAUUCACAAUAACUAAAGCAUGAGAGCAAUCCAAGUGCCCACUGACUGAGAAAUAGAUGAACCGAUGUGGCAAGCACAAAUAUUAGAGUAUUAUUUAUCAUUAAAAAGGAAGGGAAUUCUGACACAUACUACAACAUGAAGGAACCUCAGGAACUCAUUCUUCUAAGUGAAAUAAACCUGACAGGAAAGGACAAAUAUUCUGUGAUUCCACUUAAAUGGAGUAUCUGGAGUGGUCACAUUCAUCAAGACAGAGAGGAGAAGGGUAAUUUCCAGGAACUGGUGGAGGAGAAAAGCUCAGCUGGAAUUCCAUCACCUCCACCAGCUUUGUUCAUAGUGCUGCUUCCUAAGGCCCACUUUACUUCACACUCCAGGAUGUCUGGCUCUAGCCUCUAGAACACCAUGUUUACCAUGUCUUGGUUGAUCUACAUAAUGGCAGAGGACGGGCUCCUUUUCUGAGUCCUUGCCCAGAUCAACACCCGUGCACGUACCCACAUCAGGAUCAUCAUGAUUUCUGGAAACCUUGAAGGUAUCACUCAGACCAGGAUUCAAGCAAGAACCAAAAAACAGAGGAAGAAACUGAGAUGGAGCUUGUAGUCAAAGAAAGGUCUUUGGACUCUGUACUUGAAGCCAACACCUCAAGGAUUCUAAAGAGUCUGUGGUUCCAUCCCAGCACCAUCCCCACCUGAAAAUCUGGCCAGAUUGUCUAUGGAUGUGCCUUCCUGCUUGUUCUCCUGCUGACCAUCCUGAGCCUGAUCCUGGGCCAGUGGCCCAGCCAGGUGUUCUCUGGAGACCCCGUGCUCACAACAGUGGCUGUGCUGCUGCUGCUGCUCAUUACUGGGGUCACGGCCGUCAUCUGGAGGCAGCCCCAGGACCCCACUACCCUUCACUUCAGCGUAGGUGACCUCAUGUGCCCAAAGUUUCCCUCUUGAGUGAAGGACGUCUGUGUGCUUUAGGUCUAAGCUUCCUUUGUUGGACCAGGAAAGAAGGGGAGUUGCUGAAACCUAUGGACCCUUCCCUGAUCCACACUCAGUGCUUUACAUUCACUAUCUAAGUAGGCACUGAACACACAGCCUGAAUGGCAUUGAACUUGUCCCUCCCACAUGGGACAGAAUCUCCCUUUCAGAUGACUAGGGUGUGUUCAGGGAUGAACUGACGCUGCCCACAGGUCCAUGCUUUGCCUUUUCUGCCACUGGUAAGCAUCUUUGUGAAAGUUUACCUGAUGGUGCACAUGACCACUUGGACUGGCGUCCUAUUUGGCAUCUGGAUGGGGAUUGGUAAGUGAUUUUUUGGAGUAAAGAGGCCUCUUGGGUGACUGAACCCAAUCCUCUUCCUACCACCUCUCCCCUAAACUGUGUCAGGUGCCAUAAGAGGAGGCCUAUUGGGCAUUUAUAAGUGAGGAGAGCACCUGCUUUUACUUCUCAUCAUCUUAUUUCCCUACUAGGAUUUACCAUAUACUUUGGAUAUGGGAUCCGACACAACUUGGAGGAGAACACUGAGCAACACACCAGCCUCCACCUCCCAAUUACUGGACAAAAACAUCCCUGGUGCUGAGUCAUCUUAACCACAGGAGAGAGAUGCUGUGUGGAAUCCCUCCACGCCCUGGAGGAUCUGCUGGUUCGACACAACUUGGAGGAGAACACUGAGCAACACACCAGCCUCCACCUCCCAAUUACUGGACAAAAACAUCCCUGGUGCUGAGUCAUCUUAACCACAGGAGAGAGAUGCUGUGUGGAAUCCCUCCACGCCCUGGAGGAUCUGCUGGUUCGAGGGGCACUGUGAGCCUCUAUGGGCGUGAAGGUGGAAUGCAUUUACAGUCGUGUAUUUAUUGCUAGUGGACAAAGUGACUUUAAUGCUGCAAAUGCUGAAGGAAACAUUUAAAAGCAUAAUACACAUCCAAAAAAAAGGAUUUUCAUGAAAAAUGUACAAAAAUGUAACCAGAAACCAGAGGAAGAAAUAAAAUAUUA